GCGAGGGUUGCCGAGCUUGGUCAAAGGCGCUGGAUUUAGGGUCCAGUCUGUUAGCAGUUCGAGGGUUCGAAUCCCUUCCCUCGCA
rnacentral:tRNA from 2 species